UACGUAGGGUGCGAGCGUUAAUCGGAAUUACUGGGCGUAAAGCGUGCGCAGGCGGUUUUGUAAGCCAGAUGUGAAAUCCCCGGGCUUAACCUGGGAAUGGCAUUUGGGACUGCAAGGCUGGAGUUUGGCAGAGGAGACUGGAAUUCCUGGUGUAGCAGUGAAAUGCGUAGAUAUCAGGAGGAAUACCGAUGGCGAAGGCAGGUCUCUGGGCUAUAACUGACGCUCAUGCACGAAAGCGUGGGGAGCGAACAGG
rnacentral:rRNA from 1 species